rnacentral:rRNA from 1 species
AGAGUUUGAUCCUGGCUCAGRWUGAACGCURGCGGGAGGCCUAACACAUGCAAGUCGAACGGGAUUGAGAGCUUGCUCUCAUGAGAGUGGCGCACGGGUGAGUAACGCGUAUGCAACCURCCUAUAACUGAGGGAUAGCCCAUAGAAAUGUGGAUUAAUACCUCAUAGUUCUUUUKGUCCGCAUGGACUGAAAGAUAAAGCUCCGGCGGUUAURGAUGGGCAUGCGUGMCAUUAGYUWGUUGGYGRGGUAACGGCYCACCAAGRCKAYGAUGKCUAGGGGKUCURARAGGAUGAUCCCCCACACUGGUACUGAGACACGGACCAGACUCCUACGGGAGGCAGCAGUGAGGAAUAUUGGUCAAUGGGCGMRAGCCUGAACCAGCCAUGCCGCGUGCAGGAAGACGGCCCUACGGGUUGUAAACUGCUUUUGUGUGGGAAGAAAACGCAYUACGUGUAGUGCACUGACGGUACCAUAUGAAUAAGCAUCGGCUAACUCCGUGCCAGCAGCCGCGGUAAUACGGAGGAUGCGAGCGUUAUCCGGAUUUAUUAGGUUUAAAGGGUGUGUAGGCGGACGAUUAAGUCAGUGGUGAAAUCUCAGAGCUUAACUCUGAAACUGCCAUAGAUACUGGUUGUCUUGAGUACAGUURAAGUAGGCGGAAUGUGUAAUGUAGCGGUGAAAUGCUUAGAUAUUACACAGAACACCGAUUGCGAAGGCAGCUUGCUAAGCUGUUACUGACGCUGAUGCACGAAAGCGUGGGGAGCGAACAGGAUUAGAUACCCUGGUAGUCC